GGCCAGGUGGUGUAGUGGUUAACACCUUGCUAUGCUGUAUAUGUGAAAGACCCUGGGUUCAAUUCCCAGUCUGGCCA